GCUCCCGUAGUUCAAAGGAUAGAAUGUAUGUUUGCGGAACAUGCGAUCCAGGUUCGAUUCCUGGCGGGAGCACAA
rnacentral:tRNA from 1 species